rnacentral:rRNA from 1 species
AUUAAACGCUGGCGGCAUGCCUUACACAUGCAAGUCGAACGGCAGCACGGGGGCAACCCUGGUGGCGAGUGGCGGACGGGUGAGUAAAGCAUCGGAACGUAUCCUGGAGUGGGGGAUAACGUAGCGAAAGUUACGCUAAUACCGCAUAUUCUGUGAGCAGGAAAGCAGGGGAUCGCAAGACCUUGCGCUCUGGGAGCGGCCGAUGUCGGAUUAGCUAGUUGGUGGGGUAAAGGCCUACCAAGGCGACGAUCCGUAGCGGGUCUGAGAGGAUGAUCCGCCACACUGGGACUGAGACACGGCCCAGACUCCUACGGGAGGCAGCAGUGGGGAGUUUUGGACAAUGGGCGAAAGCCUGAUCCAGCCAUUCCGCGUGCAGGAUGAAGGCCCUCGGGUUGUAAACUGCUUUUGUACAGAACGAAAAAGCUCUUUCUAAUACAGAGAGUCCAUGACGGUACUGUAAGAAUAAGCACCGGCUAACUACGUGCCAGCAGCCGC